rnacentral:rRNA from 1 species
AACGAACGCUGGCGGCAGGCCUAACACAUGCAAGUCGAACGAGAAGCCACCUUCGGGUGGUGGACAGUGGCAGACGGGUGAGUAACGCGUGGGAACGUGCCUUUCGGUUCGGAAUAACCUAGGGAAACUUGGGCUAAUACCGGAUACGCCCUCCGGGGGAAAGAUUCAUCGCCGAAAGAUCGGCCCGCGUCGGAUUAGCUAGUUGGUGGGGUAAUGGCUCACCAAGGCGACGAUCCGUAGCUGGUCUGAGAGGAUGACCAGCCACAAUGGGACUGAGACACGGCCCAGACUCCUACGGGAGGCAGCAGUGGGGAAUAUUGGACAAUGGGCGAAAGCCUGAUCCAGCCACGCCGCGUGGGUGAAGAAGGCCUUAGGGUUGUAAACCCCUUUCAGCGGGGAAGAUAAUGACGGUACCCGCAGAAGAAGUCCCGGCUAACUCCGUGCCAGCAGCCGCGGUAA